ensembl:lncRNA
GGGUCUCCGGGAAGGAAGCUUUGCCCAAAGGAGGGACAGGUAGACGGGUCAAAAAGAAGGGUUAUCAAAUCACAGCCAAAUUUCUGUAUUUUUUUAAUAUGACGUGUUAGUGAAAGUGUUAGUCACUUCAGUCGUGUCCAACUCUUUGCGACCCCAUGGACUGUAGCCCGCCAGGCUCCUCUGUCCAUGGGGUUUCCCAGGCAAGAACAGUAGAGUGGGUUGACAUGCCCUCCUCCAGGAGAUCUUCCCGACCCAGAGAUUGAACCCAGGUCUCCAGCAUUUCAGGUGGAUUCUUUUCUGUCUCAGCCACCUCGGAACCUGCAGCUGCAAACACUUCACCCAUCUCUGCGGCUCUGCUGUGACAUGGCUUCCCCUCCGCAAUCUUUCCCUCCCUGAUCUUUCUUUCCUGUCCUCCAGGAUCUCCAUUUGUCUUCCGUGCAAAGAGACAAGGGAGGGGGAGACGGGAGAGAGUCCAAGUUCUGGGCACACAGGACACAGGGUGGGGCGGCUGUUUGGAAAACGGGGAGCUGUUGGCGCAGAGAACCAGGACCGUAGCGAGGAGGUCUCGGUCCCUGCCAAGGCCUGACGUUCCCCCACCUGCCAGUCACGGGAGAGAUUGGCGUCUCAUCUGACUGACGGAGACUACGCUUUCUCAUCAGACCAGAGGCACCCUCCCCCACCGCCAGGGCAGAGGCUGUAUUCCUCCCCGCCCCCCGCCGCCCCGCAUUAGAUUGCUUGCUCCCCAGAAUAGGGGAGCCUCCUCCAUUUGCCUGAGAGCUUUCCUUUGGCAGGGGAUCUGUCCCC